rnacentral:rRNA from 1 species
GACGAACGUUGGCGGCGUGCUUAACACAUGCAAGUCGAACGGUGAAGCGCCUUCCGCUUUGGUGGGUGGGGGUGAGUGGCGAACGGGUGAGUAACACGUGAGUAACCUGCCCCCUUCUUCUGGAUAACCGCAUGAAAGUGUGGCUAAUACGGGAUACUCUGGGUCUGUCGCAUGAUGGGUCUGGGAAAGAUAUUGUGUCGGAGGGGGAUGGGCUCGCGGCCUAUCAGGUUGUUGGUGGGGUGAUGGCCUACCAAGGCGGUGUCGGGUAGCCGGCCGGAGAGGGUCGGCCGCCACGGUAGGGAGGCAAGGCGGACAAGACUACGAGGGGCGGCAGUGGUGGGUAAUAGUGCACAAGGGGCGCAAGCAUGCUGCAGCGACGCGGCGUGAGAGAUGGAGGCCUGCUGGUUGAGAACCUCUUUCGCGAGUGAAGAGCGCCUGCCUCGUUUGUCGGUGGGUUGACGGUAGCUGGAUAAGAAGCGCCGGCUAACUACGUG